rnacentral:rRNA from 1 species
ACUCAAAGGAAUUGACGGGGGCCCGCACAAGCGGAGGAACAUGUGGUUUAAUUCGAUGAUACGCGAGGAACCUUACCUGGGCUUAAAUGGGGGACGACAGCUGCUGAAAGGUGGUUUUCUUCGGACGUUCUUCAAGGUGCUGCAUGGUUGUCGUCAGCUCGUGCCGUGAGGUGUCGGGUUAAGUCCCAUAACGAGCGCAACCCUUACUGUUAGUUGCCAUCGGGUAAAGCCGGGGACUCUAGCGGGACUGCCACCGUAAGGUGAGAGGAAGGUGGGGAUGACGUCAAAUCAGCACGGCCCUUAUGUCCAGGGCUACACACGUGUUACAAUGGCCGGUACAAAGGGCAGCUACACCGCGAGGUGAUGCUAAUCUCGAAACCCGGUCUCAGUUCGGAUCGAAGUCUGCAACCCGACUUCGUGAAGUUGGAUUCGCUAGUAAUCGCGCAUCAGCCACGGCGCGGUGAAUACGUUCCCGGGCCUUGUACACACCGCCCGU